UGCUCCGGGCGAUCAGUGGCGAACGGGUGAGUAACACGUGAGUAACCUGCCCCAGACUCUGGGAUAACAUCGGGAAACCGGUGCUAAUACCGGAUAUGAGACGAGACCGCAUGGUCAUCGUCUGGAAAGAUUUAUCGGUCUGGGAUGGACUCGCGGCCUAUCAGCUAGUUGGUGAGGUAAUGGCCCACCGAGGCGACGACGGGUAGCCGGCCUGAGAGGGCGACCGGCCACACUGGAACUGAGACACGGUCCAGACUCCUACGGGAGGCAGCAGUGGGGAAUAUUGCACAAUGGGCGCAAGCCUGAUGCAGCAACGCCGCGUGGGGGAUGAAGGCCUUCGGGUUGUAAACCCCUUUUAGCAGGGAAGAAGCGAAAGUGACGGUACCUGCAGAAAAAGCGCCGGCUAACUACGUGCCAGCAGCCGCGGUAAUACGUAGGGCGCAAGCGUUGUCCGGAAUUAUUGGGCGUAAAGAGCUCGUAUGCGGUUUGUCGCGUCUGCUGUGAAAGUCCGAGGCUCAACCUCGGAUCUGCAGUGGGUACGGGCAGACUAUAGUGUGGUAGGGGAGACUGGAAUUCCUGGUGUAGCGGUGGAAUGCGCAGAUAUCAGGAGGAACACCAAUGGCGAAGGCAGGUCUCUGGGCCACAACUGACGCUGAGGAGCGAAAGCGUGGGUAGCAAACAGGAUUAGAUACCCUGGUAGUCCACGCCGUAUACGGUGGGCACUAGAUGUGGGGCUCUUUCCAUGAGUUCCGCGUCGCAGCUAACGCAUUAAGUGCCCCG
rnacentral:rRNA from 1 species